rnacentral:rRNA from 1 species
GAUGAACGCUGGCGGCGUGCCUAAUACAUGCAAGUCGAGCGAACGGACGAGAAGCUUGCUUCUCUGAUGUUAGCGGCGGACGGGUGAGUAACACGUGGAUAACCUACCUAUAAGACUGGGAUAACUUCGGGAAACCGUAGCUAAUACCGGAUAAUAUUUUGAACCGCAUGGUUCAAAAGUGAAAGACGGUCUUGCUGUCACUUAUAGAUGGAUCCGCGCUGCAUUAGCUAGUUGGUAAGGUAACGGCUUACCAAGGCAACGAUGCAUAGCCGACCUGAGAGGGUGAUCGGCCACACUGGAACUGAGACACGGUCCAGACUCCUACGGGAGGCAGCAGUAGGGAAUCUUCCGCAAAGGGCGAAAGCCUGACGGAGCAACGCCGCGUGAGUGAUGAAGGUCUCCGGAUCGUAAAACUCUGUUAUUAGGGAAGAACAUAUGUGUAAGUAACUGUGCACAUCUUGACGGUACCUAAUCAGAAAGCCACGGCUAACUACGUG